rnacentral:rRNA from 1 species
GACGGAGCGGCGAACGGGUGAGUAACACGUGAGCAACCUGCCCCACAGAUCGGGAUAGCCCAGGGAAACCUGGAUUAAUACCGGAUGCCCCCGGNGGNUCGCAUGAUCUAUCGAGGAAAUACCUUUGUGCUGUGGGAUGGGCUCGCGACUUAUCAGCUAGUUGGUGGGGUAACGGCCUACCAAGGCGUCGACGAGUAGCUGGUCUGAGAGGACGAUCAGCCACACUGGGACUGAGACACGGCCCAGACUCCUACGGGAGGCAGCAGCAGGGAAUCUUGCGCAAUGGGCGAAAGCCUGACGNAGCAACGCCGCGUGGGGGAUGAAGGCCUUCGGGUUGUAAACCCCUUUCAGGAGGGAAGAAAUUGACGGUACCUCCAGAAGAAGCACCGGCCAACUACGUGCCAGCAGCCGCGGUAAUACGUAGGGUGCAAGCGUUAUCCGGAAUCAUUGGGCGUAAAGAGCUCGUAGGCGGUUCAGCAAGUCGGCUGUGAAAGUUCGAGGCUCAACCUCGAAAUUGCAGUCGAUACUGCUGUGACUCGAGUCCGGUAGAGGAGAAUGGAAUUCCCGGUGUAGCGGUGAAAUGCGCAAAUAUCGGGAGGAACACCAGUAGCGAAGGCGGUUCUCUGGGCCGGCACUGACGCUGAGGAACGAAAGCGUGGGGAGCAAACAGGAUUAAAUACCCUGGUAAUCCACCCCGUAAACGUUGGAUGCUAGGUGUGGCGGUCUAACCAACGACUGCCGUGCCGAAGCUAACGCAUUAAGCAUCCCGCCUGGGGAAUACGGCCGCAAGGCUAAAACUCAAAGGAAUUGACGGGUCCCCGCACAAGCGGCGGAGCAUGCGGCUUAAUUCGAUGCAACCCGAAGAACCUUACCUGGGUUUGACAUCGCGGGAAAAGCUGUAGAAAUACAGUGUCCAUUAGGGCCCGUGACAGGUGGUGCAUGGCUGUCGUCAGCUCGUGUCGUGAGAUGUUGGGUUAAGUCCCGCAACGAGCGCAACCCUUGUCCUAUGUUGCCAGCGGUUCGGCCGGGGACUCAUAGGAGACUGCCGGGGAUAACUCGGAGGAAGGCGGGGACGACGUCAAGUCAUCAUGCCCCUUAUGUUCAGGGCUGCACGCAUGCUACAAUGGGUGGUACAACGGGCUGCGAUCCCGCAAGGGUGAGCGAAUCCCUCAAACCAUCCUCAGUUCGGAUUGAAGUCUGCACUCGACUUCAUGAACCCGAGUCGCUAGU